UUGAUGAUGGUAACUGGACAUCAGGUAUUAAGAUUUCUUUGGAAAAUUGAUGGUUCAGUUUCUCAUGAGAGUUAUGAGAAACGUAGGUAUGAAGUGAAGAAGUUAGUGUUCGAAUACGAAAAAUUGUUUUUGGAUGUACCAGGUUGAACAUCUGUCUUAGAGCAUAACGUUGAUGUUGGGAAUACCACGCCACUGAAACAAUCUCCAUGGAAAAAUAUGAAAGAAAUCACCCGAGGUCAAUAACCUUUAUUCUUUCUUGCAGAGAAAACUCAAAUGAGGGUCAAUAUGGUUGGUAUUGAUAGUAAUUGGCCAUCAGGUAAUCAGAUAAGAAACGUUGGUAUCUUGAGAAGUUUGUGUUCGAAUAUAAAGAAUCGUUUUCGGGAUUACCAGAUUGAACGAACAUCUGUCUAAGAACAUGAAGUAGAUGUUAUUGCCACGCCAGUGAAACAUCCAUAUAGAUUAAAUCCUUUUAAGAGUGGUUGCUGCAAUGGAGGUGAAAUAUGUACGUAUAUGGUUAAACAUGGUUUGAUCAAGAACACGGUGUACGAUUUAGAAGGGUGUGGUUUAUAUUGAUGACUAUUUAUAGUGAUGAUUGGGACACUCAUUUUAAGUGUAUCAAGGCCUUAUUUUGAGGUAAUGAGGGAAAGUGAAUUGGCAAAAGCGAAGGUUGAGUAGGGAUUCUUGCAGAGGGCUGAACGGAUAUUAAGGUAUAAUCAGUAUCGUUCUAGUUACGAUGUGCUAGAAUUAACUUAUGAAUUGUCAUUCUAGUUACGUGUGUGCAAGAAUUAUAAACUUAUGAAUGGUCUAAUAUCAAGUUGAGGGUAUAGGUGAAUGUAACAGAUGAUAAUCGUUCGAAUUUUGUGGCAAUGUUAGUUUUAGUGAAGGUGGGUGAUGUGUUAUAAUGCGGUUUGGAGUAAGCGUUAUCAGGUAGAGAUGGUAUUGUAAUGUUUUGUGGUACAAUGCAUUCAGUGUUUGUAUUGUAACGUUUAUGGUACCAUUGGUGUAGUAUAAAGGUAUAGGGUUGUUAUUUGGUGGUGGAUGGUACAACACGGUUAUUAAAUUCGUUAUUAGGGUACUAAUUCAAGACUACUUUGUUGAAUGAUUGCUACUAAUCUGGGCAUUCUGUUUUCAGGUGUAUUUUGAAAUUUCGCACAGGAAACCUGUGUUUUCUCUGUGUUGUCCAAUGUUAUGUGUAUUCGGUAGGACACUUAUAUAGCACAAGCCUAUUGUUCGCCGAAUGUUUUUAUAAUAAGCAAUGUGAAACAAGAUGUGACAGUGUAAAGUGUGUGUGAAAAUAUUUAUGUACUGGUAUGUGGAAUCCAGAUUAGAGCAGAGUAGCUCUUAAAUAUGCACUUACGCGAGAGCUUUUGAAGCUCUUGUGUUGAAAAUGUAUUUGGUGUUGGUUAUAUUGAGGUUUUCUGUGUUGUAGAUUCCCCAUUGUAUACUAAUUUUUUUUUUUAUUUCGGUGCCUUGCUUGUAAUCUGCACCCUUGUUCCUGACCUCCCCCCCCCCCUCUUUAUAUAUAUAUAAUUUAUAAGCAUUAUUCUUGGUUAGACAGUUUUUCUCUUGCAGAUUUGUAUGGAAUCUUUUGUGUUUUAGUGUGUUGAAUUCUAUUUAGUUGGGUGAUUGAUUUUUCCCUUGUGUUCAGUCAAGUAUAAGUGGAUUUACAGAUUCAGAUAACAUUUCUGUCUAGAAAGCCUUGUUUUCAGUAAAGUAUAAUUGGUUUAAAAUAUAUUCAUAUUUUUUUUGUAUAUUUAUAGGUUCAGGUGUUAUAUCUAUGUGAGGACAUCUACAAGUAUGUGUGAGGACAUCUUCAAAAUCUGACAGCUCCUACCUUGAGCUGGUGUUCUGCUUAAUCUGGUAUGUAGCACCUGUGGGACACCAGCGGAUAAACGGGAAGGUCGUCCCAGACAAUAGAAUAAUCAGAGCCAGUUGGCAAAAAUCUGACAGCUCCUACCUUGAGCUGGUAUUCUGCUUAAUCUGGUAUGUAGCACCUGUGGGAGACCAGCGUAUAAACGGGAAGGUCAUCCCAGGCAAUAGAAUAAUCAGAGCCAGGUGGCAACGAUGUUGACGGAGUCGUCGUAGAGUCGGGGUGGACCGUAGAGGUUAUAUAUACCUAGAGGUGCGAUCUCCAAUUGAAUCUAUAUUUUGAAUGUAAAAAAAACCGUUGGAAGACCAAGGGCCUUGAUAUCAAGUCUGCCUAAUGCGAGCAGGCCUAAAUCCCCUUUCAUUCAAAGGGUUGUAGAGCUCCGCCCUCACGACUACUGGAGGGAGGACUGCACGCACUCAUUCAGUUGCUGUGAGUGGAGGCAUUCCAAAGUGACUAUUGGUCUCAAGCCCUUUGAAGGAAUACCCGCCUGAAGAUAUGAGGAAGACCCUGACAUGUUUUCCCGACAACUGUUGGUCUCAAGCCCUUGAACGAUUACCCCCCUGAAGAUUUGAGGGAGACCUGACACGUAGGAGUUUCAUUUCGUAUUUUCAUCUGUUGAAGGAGUCAUUCUACAACGUCAAAUAUAACUUUUUCCAUCAUCAAAUUAAACGGGCAACGACCGCUGUUUUAAGGCAUUUUCU